rnacentral:lncRNA from 1 species
UUAACAAUGUGAACUGAGUUCUGGUUUUAGUUGCACUCAGUUGGCUUUUAGAUAGACCUUGUUUUUCUGCAGCUUUGCACAUGUGUCCCAUAGAGGAAAGAGUCUUUUGAUAGCCUUUCUUACUGAAAACUGAAGAUGUCUGCAAGCACUUUCUGUUUUAUUAUGACUGAAAUUUUCUUUCCCAUCUUCAACUUGUUCAUUUUUCAUUUUAGUUGAUAUCUCUUUAGCAGUUGUCUUCGUACUGACAUUCUUCUUGCUCUUUGUACAAGAUAGCUAUUACUUUCUUGUUUUUGUAGAUUGCAGCAAGUUCAUUAUAAUCAUUGAUCGACUGUGCUACUAUGAGGAGUGGGCAGGUUGCUGAAAUGGACUUCAAAGAAAGAACUGCUGAUGGGAAAACAGGUAGAUAACAUGACAUGUUAUGUUUCCUAACAAGAAACUUCUACAUUUUAAACAUGGCCAAAAAAAUGCUUUUUCUCAUUUUCUGGAAGAAUGAUACAUCUUGCACUGCUCUUCAACUGCUAUAACUUUGAAUAGAUACUUGGCAAAAAAUGUCUACAUCUUUCCAUAAAUCNNNNNNNNNNNNNNNNNNNNNNNNNNNUAUUAGUUGUCGUAUGAUGUAUAUAUGUUAAAUGUGCUAUCUGAUAUGGAAAAUAAAAGAAGAUAGGAUAGGACAGCGGAGAUUGUUAUAAGAGAUGGUGGUUAAAAAUAAUUCCUGAUUUUUAAAGUUUUGUUGUAGAUUGCAAUAACAUGGUUAGUGUGACUCGAUGUAGAUAUCCGGCUUGCUUACAAGGACGAUAGAGGGGUGUGUUUCUUGUCAUCACCUUGAAUCAUUGGGCUAAGACCCUGCAGCUUCUAAAUGCACAUGGUAGGCCCUUUUGAUCUUUUAUGAUAAUUUUCUCCUUCAUCCUUAAUAUGGGGUUUUGUAUAAUCUGUUAGUGGAUUUCAGUUCUUUAGCUG